rfam:Octopus bimaculoides Scaffold41709_contig_4, whole genome shotgun sequence.
GUUUAUUUCUAGAUUCGGUUGUACAUAUUUUAUAACUGGAACAAUGCGAAGAAGUCUAGUGUAGCUUCUGCACAAUAAUGGCAUUUAAGUUCAUGAAGUGUUCCAUAUUUUU